UAACCGACUGCACCACCCAGGCGCCCCGUACAACUCUGUAUUAAGAAGCCAUUAUCAAGAGGUAAUGGCUAAAAUCGAUUACUCCAGAAAUAACAGUGUAUGUAUAUCAUUUAGAAAUAUGGAGGUGAACACCAGAAGAACCAACUGAAAGAGCUGAAAGUGGUAGCCCCAGGAGGUGAAUUGGCUAGGCAGGAACUGCUGUUUUUCAUUAGAAGCUCUACUUCAUUAGAAGCUCUAUUUUGUAAAAUAAAUGAAUAUAUUAGUUAUUAUUCUAAGAAUGUAUAUGGGUUUAUUGGGAAAAUUUAGAAAACAAAGUAUGAAGAAGAAAACAAAAUGAUCUAUGAAACCUCUAUACCUGCUUAACCUUUGGUGAAUUGUCCUUCAAUUGUCUUAAGUAUGUAGAUAUGUUUUUUAUGUAGGCGUUAUUCUAACAAUUUCAUAGCCAAAAUUAUAUUUCACUAUUUUAAUCUUCACUCUCUUAGUCACAAGUGAUAUUAAACACUUCUCCCUAUGUUUAUCAGCCUUUUGCAUUUCCUAUAUUAAUUGCUUUUACUUGUCUCUUGUUCAUUUUCUUUUGGAUAUUGGUCUUUCUAUUAUCAAUUUGUAUGAGACUUUUGCUUUUCAAUUCUGCUUGGUUAGGCUGAAAUUUUUAUUUUUAUGGGGUCACUUAAAAAAAUUUUUUUUUGGUAUAAUUUGGCCUCUAUGACCUUAACUUAUUAAUAUCCCUUAACAAAUUCCUUUGGCGGUUCUUACCCAUGAUGAAGUUCCAAGUUCUGUGUCCUUCCUGGUCUGGCCUUUGACAUCUGUUCAGGCCUGUCUUCUACAGGCCCCUUCCAUUCCAGUCAAGACCUACCACUCAAAGCCUCUCAAACAGGCUUUUCAAUAUCUCCACACCUUGACAGAUAAACAUGCUUUCUGCCUGAAAUGACUUUUCUUUCCUCAAAAACAUCUUUUGAGCUAUACCUCACCUUCUUGACUAUCUUUUCUGCGUUAUUUCCACAUUCAACUAUUACGGACAUACUAACUUGUUUUAGAAUUAAUUUUCAAUUCUGUCUCCUCCAUUAGUCUGUGGGCUUCCUUACCUAUCUUUGUUUAGCUUUGAACCCCAGUUGCAGUACAGUGCUAGGUAUUUAAUAAACAAUAAAUGUCGGCUCAGUGUUGAAUAAUUCAUUAUUUGUGGUAGGCAGAAUUCCAUAAUGACCUCAAGAUUCCCUCCCCGUGGUGUAUGUGAACUGUAUAAUCCCCUCCCCUUCCAGUGCAGGUAGGACCUGUGAAUAUGAUGAGAUAGUCAUUCUCUUUUUGUUUUUUUUUUUUUUUUGUUUGUUUUAGAAAGAGAAAGAGAGAGCAUGAGCCGGGGAGAGGGGCAGAGGGAGAAAGAAUCUCAAGCAGGCUCCAAACUCAGCACAGAGCCUGACACAGGGCUCAGUCCCAACCAUGACCCUUGGAUCAUGACCUGAGCCAAAAUGAAAAGUCAGACACUCAACCAACUGAGCCACUCAGGUGCCCCAAGAUAGUCAUUCUCUUGGUUAGUUUACAUUAUAGGACAAAGGUGUUGGAAUAGUUGUUCUAGUGGUCGUGUUGCCUUUGUAAGACUCCACUGUAGCCAACUUGAGGAAGAUUCUCCUGCUGGCUGUGAAGAAGAUGCUCUGUUGUGAAAGUGCCAUGACCUAGAACCUGAAGGCAGCUCCUAGGAGCUGAGAGUGAUCCCAGUUGACAGCCAGCAAGAAAACAAGGACCUGAGUUCUGCGACCAUAGGCUCUGAAUUCUGCCAACCACCUGAAUGAGGAUGGAAGAGGAUUCUGAGACUCCGAUAAGAUCCCAGCCCCAGCAGACAACUUGAUUUCAGUCCAAUGAGACCCUGAGGACAGGGCCUAACUGACAGUGAAUCUCCCUUCCCUAUGGAACCACAUAUGUGUGAACUACCACCUGCUGUUUUUUUGUGACAACUUUUGUAUGCUGCAUUAAGCCCGCUUGACUGAAUCCUCAAUACCCCACAGCCUGGUCUUGUUCAUGGCCCAGAAGAAACAUUAGAGAGUACAGAAAAAAAAAUAGGAAAGUAUGGAGACUAAAGAUCAUCCAUAAUCUCCAAAUGCAAAGACUGAUUCAUUCAUUCAUUCUGUCAAUGUUCACUACAAAAGACCACCAGGAACACAGCUGGAAUUGAGAUCACUCUGGCUGUGGGAGGACAGCAGGCGAGAAGUGUGAUAUAAGGCAGGAGACCAACUAAAAUACAACUUUAUUAGUUCAGUUCUGGAGGCUGGGAAGUCCAAGAUCAAGAGAAAGGAGAUGACAAAUGGAGCAAAGUUGUUCAGGAAAUGGAAGAGGAUGGCACCAAGAGAAAGAAGAGUUGGACAGGAAGCAAGACUUCUGCUGGGAUUACAGAAGAGGAAUACCUAGCACAGUGCCUGAAAAAUAGAAGGAACUUAAAAGUAUGCUGCUGAAUGGAAGACUAAAUGAAUGGAGGGAACAGUCAACUGGUGGUGUUGGAAGUACAGAAGAUAAUAGGAUGGAACAAGUUCAGGAAGAUUUUCUUAGAGUUGUUUAACUCUGCUUCAACAAAAUUCUGCUUCAACAAAACUCUUAGAAGAAUGAAGGCUUGAGUUGCCAAAGCCCAAACUUGAGGACUGGCUAUCCCUCUAUGUUUCCAUCAGGCUCUGCAUUUAGUUACAGAUGGAAGUUGGUUAUCUUAUCUCCAACAAAGACUGCAAGAGUGGGAUGUGUCCUUCUGGCUCUUUGUAAUCAGGCUUUUUGUGACUGGGGAUGCUGGUUGCCCAUAUGACAUUAAAAUUUUUUCAGUCUCUGUACUGGGGGUAAAAAUAUGAGCAGAAUUUGAAUUUGAAAAUUACUUCUUCCUACAUUGAGUGGUGUGAUGGUGUAUGUUCUUCUAUAAUAGACACUCGCUCAACACUGUAUAUUUGAAAUAACUCCCUUCUGGAGGAAGGUAGAGAAGAAGUGUGUGGAAGUUAUAUAUCUUUGACAGAAACCACACUCUCCCUACACUGAGGAGAGUCCAUUGGUACCUAAGCAUUGAUCACGAGUACUCCACACACCAGUUGGGCAGGGUUUUUAGGAACCACAAACCCAUUAACAUUCCCUGAUAUAACUUUUGAAAACAAACGAAAAUAAAAUCUAGGUCUUUCCUGGGUUUCCUCUCUUUGCAUGUUGUAAGUUGUAUUUGUUUAUAUUUCUCCAUGUUUGUGUAUUCUCUUGCUUUAACAUACUUGGUCUCUCUUUAACUCUGACCAUUGUUGGAUCUAACUUGUCCUACUCAGUUUUCCAUCCCAGGGGGGUAGCAUGGCUUACGAAAAGAGCAGGGCCUUAAUGCCAAAAAGCAAAAAGACCUAGCCUCAAAUGCCAGUUAUGCUCUUUCAUAUCUAGGAAACUUUCAACAAAGUAUUCAACAUCUUUGAGCCACAGUUUCUGUGCUGUUCAGUUAUAUUUCCGUUUCCUCUUUCUGGGUGCAUGGUAGGAUUAUACUUCUGGUUCCCUUAAUAUUAGCACAUGUCAUGUACUUGUCAGUGGAUUGAGAAUAGAAGUAGACACGUGUUAUUCCUGGGGAGAAGGCUGUAAGAAACUAAUCUUGUUGCCUUUCUGCUGAAACAUGACAGAGAUUCUAUCAGUCUGAUCCUUGAGUGAGGGCAACAUGGAGCAGAACACCAACCCAAUGGAUACAUAGCAUGACCAAGAAAUAAACUUCUAUUGAUUGAGGUCAUUAAAAUUUGGGGGUUGUUUGUUACUCAACAUGAAUUAUCCCAUCUGGCUGAUGUCUCCUAAUAUGAAUAAUGAUUAUAAGAUUUACCUCAAAGAGAAUUACCAACCCACAUUAGAGGAUUAAAAUGCAGUGGCUUGGGGCGCCUGGGUGGCUCAGUCGUUUAUGUGUCCAACUUUGGCUCAGGUUGUGAUACAGCUUGGAGCCUGGAGCCUGCUUUGGAUUCUGUGUCUCCCUCUCUCUGCCCCUCCUCCGCUUGUGCUUUGUCUCUCUCCCUCUCAAAAAUAAACAUUAAAAAAAAUUAAAAUAAAAAAGCAGUAGCUCUUAUUACUAUUACCCCCCCUUCUGCCAGCUGUCUGUAUCUACCAUUCUUAUCAGACAUUCCACUUCCACACUCAUACAUGGCUCACUCUUGUCCAUUUCACUCCACCCCCAUAAUUCUCUUUCACUCUACCCAUAAUUGUCCUCCAUUGCCCUCUGCCCACCCCCCUACUCCCCCACCCCCGCUUACCAACUCCUUCUCUUAGUCUUCUGUGGAAUACCAGCUCCAAUUUGGUCAAACUCUCUAAACCUGUUUCUUGUCUUUUUUUCUCCAAAUGGGACAGAUUUUUUAAUUUAAUUUUUUUAAUUUUUUAAUUUAUUGUGUGAGAGAGAGAAAUUGUGAGCAGGGGA